rnacentral:rRNA from 1 species
UAGGGAAUCUUCGGCAAUGGACGAAAGUCUGACCGAGCAACGCCGCGUGAGUGAAGAAGGUUUUCGGAUCGUAAAACUCUGUUGUUAGAGAAGAACAAGGACGUUAGUAACUGAACGUCCCCUGAUGGUAUCUAACCAGAAAGCCACGGCUAACUACGUGCCAGCAGCCGCGGUAAUACGUAGGUGGCAAGCGUUGUCCGGAUUUAUUGGGCGUAAAGCGAGCGCAGGCGGUUUCUUAAGUCUGAUGUGAAAGCCCCCGGCUCAACCGGGGAGGGUCAUUGGAAACUGGGAGACUUGAGUGCAGAAGAGGAGAGUGGAAUUCCAUGUGUAGCGGUGAAAUGCGUAGAUAUAUGGAGGAACACCAGUGGCGAAGGCGGCUCUCUGGUCUGUAACUGACGCUGAGGCUCGAAAGCGUGGGGAGCAAACAGG